rnacentral:rRNA from 1 species
AUGAACGCUGGCGGCGUGCCUCAUACCUGCAAGUCGAGCGAACAGACGAGGAGCUUGCUCCUCUGACGUUAGCGGCGGACGGGUGAGUAACACGUGGAUAACCUACCUAUAAGACUGGGAUAACUUCGGGAAACCGGAGCUAAUACCGGAUAAUAUAUUGAACCGCAUGGUUCAAUAGUGAAAGACGGUUUUGCUGUCACUUAUAGAUGGAUCCGCGCCGCAUUAGCUAGUUGGUAAGGUAACGGCUUACCAAGGCGACGAUGCGUAGCCGACCUGAGAGGGUGAUCGGCCACACUGGAACUGAGACACGGUCCAGACUCCUACGGGAGGCAGCAGUAGGGAAUCUUCCGCAAUGGGCGAAAGCCUGACGGAGCAACGCCGCGUGAGUGAUGAAGGUCUUCGGAUCGUAAAACUCUGUUAUUAGAGAAGAACAAAUGUGUAAGUAACUAUGCACGUCUUGACGGUACCUAAUCAGAAAGCCACGGCUAACUACGUG